AUUGAACGCUGGCGGUAUGCUUAACACAUGCAAGUCGAACGGUAACAGGCAAAGCUUGCUUUGCGCUGACGAGUGGCGGACGGGUGAGUAACGCGUGGGAAUCUACCUUAUAGUGGGGGAUAGCCCGGAGAAAUCCGGAUUAAUACCGCAUAAGCCCUAAGGGGGAAAGCCGGGGAUCUUCGGACCUGGCGCUAUUAGAUGAGCCCGCGUUAGAUUAGCUAGUUGGUGGGGUAAAGGCCUACCAAGGCGACGAUCUAUAGCUGGUCUGAGAGGACGAUCAGCCACACUGGGACUGAGACACGGCCCAGACUCCUACGGGAGGCAGCAGUGGGGAAUAUUGCACAAUGGGCGCAAGCCUGAUGCAGCAAUACCGCGUGGUGAAGAAGGCCUGCGGGUUGUAAAGCACUUUCAAUCGUGAAGAAAUGUUC
rnacentral:rRNA from 1 species